rnacentral:tRNA from 1 species
AGGAGUAUAGUUCAAUGGUAGAGCUACGGUCUCCAAAACCGUCGAUCUGGGUUCGAAUCCUAGUACUCCUGCCA